GUAAAUGUUUGAGUAUUUUAUUUACAAUGUAUGAGAGUCUCAUUUUUAUUAAUUUCUGUGAUACAGUAAGGCUUGCCCUUACGAAAAUUUGGUUGUACUCCUACAACCAAAUUUUCGUAAAACAAGUCCGAUGUUAUGUAGCGGUAUUCGAAAUAAUAAAAAUGAAUCAGCACGACUGUGCAAUUAAAAAUUAAUUUCAAUAAAAGUUAGCUGUUCAGAACGAACAGUAGGAUAAAUGAAUCCUCUUGCAUGCAAGAUGAAUCCAUACAACUUAUAAAUAAAUCCUGCAUGAAAGUUCACUCAAUUUAAUGCCGGUUCACUCACUUGGCGCGCAGAUUAAAAGUUAUCUCACAGAGCAUGCGUUCGGGUCCGUUGGUUUGAGUCAAUCUCCCAACUGGAUCCCUUGUCGUUAUUUAAGUAAAGAAUAAGAAAUUGAAUAAUGAGCUAAGGGACCAGAAUGGGUUAGCUAGAUAUGAAAGGUUUAAGAGGGAAAGGAACAAUAUGACUGAUCGGCUCGAAAGGUGAUCGGGGCUCGUCUUUUGAUAAGAUCGGACUCCGAUUUCCGGGACGAAGGCCAAAACUAGAAUCGCGACCUAUCUGAGGAAUUUCAAGUUUAGACUCGGCCACUUUAAUCUGACCCGUGGAAGAGGCAGGACUGGGAAGAUUUCUUGUAUAGUUUCGCGGUGUGAAUUUUGAGGUAGUGCUAAAAAGCUAGAAUAAGUAAGUGCGGUACUGUGCGAGAUUUGGCAAGAAAACAAAAAGUUUUUUUCUUUGUGCACGCCGCCUCACCUCCUGCUCGGCACACCGCGCCCAUCAAGCCAAGUACCUCUAUCCUGACCCCACGCGCCAGCAUUAAAGGUCCCCAACGUCCGGCCGGCGUUGGAAGGGAGUUGCAAUCGCCAACACUGCACUCCGGAAGAGCCCGAUUCCCGCCCACUGGGAAUUAUUCAUUCGCCGCCCACCAAGUUGGCGAAUUAUUAGCAGCGCGAGUCAUCCAAGCGACGCGCCAUUGUUCACUGUGGUGAACCAGCACCGGCGCGGCGACGCGACGCGAGAGGCAGAGAGAAGUAACAAACCGUGAGUAAGCUCCUGCGGGAGAGGUACAAAUGUUAUUUGAGCGUGCUUAAAGCGUAAAGAAGGUAGAGAAAGCUCGAGUUUUAUAGCAAGAAAUCCGCACAGUUAGGUAGUUAGAAGGGAGAGGAAGAAAGGAAAGAAGAGAGCGAGAGAAUAGCAUGGUUAGGGUACCCGAAUAAAAGUGAAUGUUUAGUGGAAUAGAUGUAGUUUGAAUAAAAGUUUUCGUGUUUUCUUAAAUGUUGUGUAAUUAGUGAGCUAGAACUUCCGUCUGAUGAUUGCACUGGUGU